CUUCGGGAACUCUGAGACAGGUGCUGCAUGGCUGUCGUCAGCUCGUGUUGUGAAAUGUUGGGUUAAGUCCCGCAACGAGCGCAACCCUUAUCCUUUGUUGCCAGCGGUCCGGCCGGGAACUCAAAGGAGACUGCCAGUGAUAAACUGGAGGAAGGUGGGGAUGACGUCAAGUCAUCAUGGCCCUUACGAGUAGGGCUACACACGUGCUACAAUGGCAUA
rnacentral:rRNA from 1 species